rnacentral:rRNA from 1 species
UACUACGGGAGGCAGCAGUAGGGAAUCUUCCGCAAUGGACGAAAGUCUGACGGAGCAACGCCGCGUGAGCGAUGAAGGCCUUCGGGUCGUAAAGCUCUGUUGUCAGGGAAGAACAAGUACCGGAGUAACUGCCGGUACCUUGACGGUACCUGACCAGAAAGCCACGGCUAACUACGUGCCAGCAGCCGCGGUAAUACGUAGGUGGCAAGCGUUGUCCGGAAUUAUUGGGCGUAAAGCGCGCGCAGGCGGUUCCUUAAGUCUGAUGUGAAAGCCCCCGGCUCAACCGGGGAGGGUCAUUGGAAACUGGGGAACUUGAGUGCAGAAGAGGAGAGCGGAAUUCCACGUGUAGCGGUGAAAUGCGUAGAGAUGUGGAGGAACACCAGUGGCGAAGGCGGCUCUCUGGUCUGUAACUGACGCUGAGGCGCGAAAGCGUGGGGAGCGAACAGGAUUAGAUACCCUGGUAGUCCACGCCGUAAACGAUGAGUGCUAAGUGUUAGAGGGUUUCCGCCCCUUAGUGCUGCAGCAAACCCAUUAAGCACU